UACGAAGGGGGGCUAGCGUUGCUCGGAAUCACUGGGCGUAAAGCGCACGUAGGCGGAUUGUUAAGUCAGGGGUGAAAUCCUGGAGCUCAACUCCAGAACUGCCUUUGAUACUGAAGAUCUUGAGUUCGGGAGAGGUGAGUGGAACUGCGAGUGUAGAGGUGAAAUUCGUAGAUAUUCGCAAGAACACCAGUGGCGAAGGCGGCUCACUGGCCCGAUACUGACGCUGAGGCACGAAAGCGUGGGGAGCAAACAGG
rnacentral:rRNA from 1 species